rnacentral:rRNA from 1 species
CAGUCGCCACGGGAAUACGAAGGGGGCUAGCGUUGUUCGGAAUUACUGGGCGUGAAGCGCACGUAGGCUGACAUUUAAGUCAGGGGUGAAAUCCCGGGGCUCAACCUCGGAACUGCCUUUGAUACUGGGUGUCUUGAGUGUGGAAGAGGUAAGUGGAAUUGCGAGUGUAGAGGUGAAAUUCGUAGAUAUUCGGAAGAACACCAGUGGCGAAGGCGACUGACUGGACAAGUAUUGACGCUGAGGUGCGAAAACGUGGGGAGCAAACAGGAUUAGAUACCCGCGUAGUCCCUGUCUCUUAUAC